GAACAUCAACAUUGAACAUGCGAACUCCAGAAAGGAAACUAUGGCUGUCAGUUCCUCCACUACAGGUGUGUAUAUAACCACUUUCUUUGCCGUUCCAUUUUUUUAUUCGAUAAUUCGGACUCAUUUGAGAGUUAUUUAUGUUCCGUUUUGGACGAAUGGGAACCGGGAAAUGUUCAAAAUUAGUCGCAGAGCACAUGCUCGUGACGUCACAUAUUAAUGACGGUGCCCUUUUCUGAAAACGAAACGUCAAUUAAAGAACAUAUUAACUACAUUAUCUGUAUGUAUUGUGUUUUUUUCGUUUUUUAAAAAGGGGGAAAUAUGACAAUAUAUAGCUGUAUCCUCUCUGCGUUAUGUUGUUUUAUGUUUGUUUAAUUGGAACCCGGAAGUUAAUUACAAAAACAACAUGGCUCAAUGUUUUUUUUGUUUGGAUGACGACUUUGCAGGACAGAGGCCAUGGUGGAAAUGCUAAAAAGGCCACUUUGUCAACAAUCCAAGAUGUCAUUCUACACGACAAAACAGAUGAAACGUUGGAAAAUCAUGGCGGUCUGCAACUUCUUUGUGUGUGGCUGGGUCAAGGAAAUUGGUAUCAAGACUCUUUUGGAUGAAUCCUGCAUCAUUGUUGCGCGGGUUCUGCUUGUUCUGCUCUUCUACACCUCCCUCCAUCCACUACAGUAGUAUGCAAGUUGGAUGUCGUACUGUAUGUACACACCUCCCGGCUUCAACUGUGCGCCCUGUUCCAUGACGUGCAGCAGAUAUUUUUUUGCCUUGACAAGCAAGCUUGUGUCACGUGAUGUUAUGGAACUGAUGAGCAGCAAGUCGACAUCAGCCUUAAUGGUAAUUGUCAGUCCAGUAAGCAUCUAGGUCAAAGGUCCAAAGGCUGUAUAAGCUACGGAGUUGCUGUAUGUAAGUAUUUUUUGUGUUGUUUUUAGAGCGACAUUGACAACCUAGAAACCUGGUUGCUCAAGAUGGCUCACUGUGGCCCAUUUAAGAAACAAUAUUAUUUGAGCUUGCGUGUGACCUAUGGAUGCAUCAGACAUGUUACGGUAUAAAAUACAUACAACCGAGACUCACCAGUCCUGCACGGCGCCAAAGGACUCCUCGUUGGUGAUGUCAUACAUGAGGAUGAAGCCCAUGGCGCCGCGGUAGUAGGCCGUGGUGAUGGUCCUGUAACGCUCCUGGCCUGCUGUGUCCUACACACACGCACACACACACACACACGUUCUGUUCACUGUCAUGCUCAUGCCAUCGUUAAUCAGAUUGCAAGGCAGCAUAAACCAUAUAGGCUGCUGUGCACACAUUUAAUCACAUCUUUGUAUUGUGUUCAUGAUGCAGACAUUGUUCUGCUGAUUGUCUGUCAUUCUGCACUCAAACGAACAGUGACUCAUUUGUGUCUCUUUUCAGGCUUUGCCAUUUUAGCUGUGAACAAAGUUCAGCUUAUAAUAAUAAAAUGAUGACACAUUCUGUCUUUAAAUGAGUAAAAUGGUAUUCAGUGAUACAUGUUCCCAUUGUAAGCUAAAUAAAUAUUUAAUCCACUCCAGGGUUAAACUGUGUUAUAAAACACAAGUUUAUUUAUGUUUUUGAUUGGUUAUACCUUCUCUGCAUCCUAAAUAGUGCUGUUCCUGGAACCUUUAUGGUCAAGUUGUCCAUGUUUAGAAACACAUAUUCCAAAAGGAACUAAUAGAAAUAGCAUUCGUUUCUGUCACGGCCCGGGCGCAUUCCAAUGCGCACUCGUCUGUGCGCUCUGCUGAUUGCACCUCCAAGAGCGCACCUGUGCGCGCCACUCCUGCAGAAGCUGCGCCGGUGCCCAGCUGCAAUCAAUCGCCAGCAAUCAACGCAUCUGAAGCUGAUGAAGAGAUCUGCUUUCUUAAGCCGGCACAACCUGCUAUCCGGCGCCAGAAAGUAGCUAGCUGUCCUGUACACCUCCGUUCGUUACGAGCUGUGCGUCUUGCCUCCCCGCGUUCCCUCUGCCUCCCUGACUGCCUCUUGGAUCUCGACCUCCCGCCUGGACACGGACCUUCAACGCCCCACUAUAGCCCCGACUUUCUGACUGCGACGGACCUCCGAGCUCUGCCUUGUCCCUCUUGAUCUUCAGCCUCUUGCUCAACACUACCGGUAUCACCACAUAGUCUCACACACACACACACACAAUUUGGAUUCGCCACACUCCUUUUCCUUUGUUUAUAUAUAUUAUUAUUUGUUAAUUAUAAAAGGUGAAACUGCCAAUGAUUGUCACACACACAAUAAGUGCAGUGAAAUUAUCCUCUGCAUUUGACUCAUCCCCACAGGAGAACAGUGAGCAUUAGCGGUGGCCACGCCCGUUAAUCAUUUGGUGAUUUAACCCUCAAUUCCAGCCCUUCAUGCUGAGUGCCAAGCAGGGAGGUAAUGGGUUCCAUUUGUAUAGUCUUUGGUAUGACUCGGCCGGGAUUUGAACUCACGACCUACCGAUCUCAGGGCGGACACUCUAACCACAAGGCCACAGACAUAGAUAGAUAGAUAGAUAGAUAGAUAGAUAGAUAGAUAGAUAGAUAGAUAGAUAGAUAGAUAGAUAGAUAGAUAGAUAGAUAGAUAGAUAGAUAGAUAGAUAGAUAGAUAGAUAGAUAGAUAGAUAGAUAGAUAGAUAGAUAGAUAGAUAGAUAGAUAGAUAGAUAGAUAGAUAGAUAGAUAGAUAGAUAGAUAGAUAGAUAGAUAGAUAGAUAGAUAGAUAGAUAGAUAGAUAGAUAGAUAGAUAGAUAGAUAGAUGGAUGGAUGGAUG